rnacentral:lncRNA from 1 species
AUGCCUUUUCCCUUGAGCUCCAGCCCAGCUUUUGUGAGCCGCUUCCAAGCUGCAGGUGUCUGUCUGUCUGUCUCUCAGAUGGGAUUUUGGAGGAGAAAGGGACCACGUGCCUCACUUCAAGGAGUCGAAACAAGCUCCAUGCAAAGUUGCUGUAUCAUAAAGGAAAGCACAGAGCAGGGGUCCUCACAGAGGGCCAGGUCAGGGUGUCUGAGGCUCUUGUUGUUGUUGUUGUUGUUAGACUCAUGACUCAUGGAAAGUACUAAGAGAAAAUUAUGACGCUCUACCACGCUUUAUGAAUUCCUUCCCUUUCUUUUUCCUACCUAGCUUUCUUUCCAUUUCCUUUCCUCUCUAUUUCCUUCCUUCCUUUCUCCCUUCCUUCUUUUCCCUCUUUUUCCAACCUACAGUUUUUUGGAAAUGGAGAGAGGAUCCGAAGGUCCAAACAGCUAUGUAGAUACUUACACAAUGUGUGCGCAGGAUCACUUUGUGUGCUUCCUGCUCUCUUGGCUGGGAGUUACUGCUUCUCUGCAGGAAAGCGGUUGGCAUUGAUGCCCAUGGCUAGUCGCCUUUGGCUCUUGCUCAAGCAAAAGUCAUCCUGACGGGAAUGCUCGGCAUUGGAAUGGGGCUCCCCCCCUCCCUCCCCUUUCCCCCUCCCUUCCCUUGUCCCUUGCCUUCGGUAUGGUUUCACACAGCCUUCUUCCGUGCAACAGGAAGAACAUGCCCUGCAGCUGCCUGUUAGGAUGCUUCGUGUCUGCACAUCAGUCAGGAACCCAUUGCCAUUUCGGUUAUGAAAACUCUCACCUGUUGUUUCAUGUAUUUUCACACUGAAUUCAUCCCUUCAAGGCUUCAAGGAGUGAAGUCGUUUCCUUUGGAAGUUUAUAUAAACAAACGAUGAGAUAGAUGGAUGGAUGGAGAUAGAUAGGUAGAUACAUAAAUAGAUAAAUAGAUGAGGGGAGUCUCUUUCUUUGGAGACUUAUAUAAACAGAGAAUGAGAUAGAUAAAUUGAUAGAUCAAUAGAUGGAUGGAUGGAUGGAUGGAUGGAGUGGAGUCCCUUUCUUAGAAGGUUUAUAUAAACAAACGAUGAGAUGGAUGGAUGGAUGGAUAAAUAGAUAGACAAAUAGAUGAGGGGAGUCUCUUUCUUUGGUUAACGUAUAUAAACAGAGAAUGAGAUAGAUAAAUUGAUAGG